GAGGUGGCCUAGUGGUUAGAGCGUCCGCCUUAGAUGCGAGAGGUCGUGGGUUCGAACCCCGGCCGAGGCA